UACGGAGGGUGCAAGCGUUAUCCGGAAUCAUUGGGUUUAAAGGGUCCGCAGGCGGAUUUAAUAAGUCAGUGGUGAAAGCCCGUCGCUCAACGACGGAACUGCCAUUGAUACUGUAAGUCUUGAAUUCGAUCGAAGUGGCGGAAUAUGACAUGUAGCGGUGAAAUGCUUAGAUAUGUCAUAGAACACCGAUAGCGAAGGCAGCUCACUAGGUCUGGAUUGACGCUCAGGGACGAAAGCGUGGGGAGGCAAACA
rnacentral:rRNA from 1 species